CAAUGUAUAUUCUCAAGAUGACCUUGCUAAAGCCUUUGUGCAAACCAUAAAUCAAGGAUCUAAUGUCAUCAGCAUGGACUUCCAUCCACAACAGCAAGCUAUUCUUCUUGUGGGGAUAAUUGUUGGUGACAUUAGCCUUUGAGAGGUGGGAUCCCGGGAAAGGCUGACACAUAAAUUUUUCAAGGUUUGGGAUAUAUUAGCUGCUUCAAUGCCAUUGCAGAGGCUUUGUUGAAUGAUGCUGUAAUAUCUGUGAAUCAGUGGGUUUGGGGGCAAGAUGGACUUAUGCUUGGUAUGUAUAUGCAUUCUAUGCUUGUGAAUAUGAAUCAUAUCCCUAGUUCAUUAUAUUUAUCUUUUCUCUUAAUCAAAUUGUGCUUUGUCUAGGUGUUGCAUUUUCGAAACAUAUAGUUUAGAUAUAUACUUACAAUCCAAUUGGAGAACUAAGACGACACUUAGAGUUAACUUCUGUAUCCUAAAUAU